rnacentral:rRNA from 1 species
AUGAGCACCCGCGUCAAACACAUGGGUGAGAUCUCUGAUGAGCUCGAAGCAAUAAGGAAUGAAUUUGCUGCUUUGGGAUCUAAACAACAACGAAUUCAGACCCAGUUGGACGAGGUAAACAUCAGGCUGGAUAAGGUGGAAAGGUUUGAAGAAAAAAUUGACACUGUAGAAAAUCUGGUGUCCAAGAGCGCCCAAAUCCAAGGAGAGAUGUUCAAGUACUUAAUGGAGAUUGAAACGAAAAUUACCCACCCAGCCAGCCCUCAAGGCUCUCCUAUGAUGUGCCCGGCUCAGUCAGUAAUUAGAGAUCCUGAUAAACAACAGCAGGCAGCUGAAGUAAUACAGGAGCUAGAUAAACACUUAGAGGAAUUGGUACAGUCAAAACUGCAGAAAUUCAUGUCUGAUGCUACUGAAGUGAGGGAAACUACUCAAAUACCUGAUCAGAACAAGGACAUGGAAAAGCAAGUGGAAUCUCUGGUCAAAUGCAAACUACAUGCAAACAAGGAAUUCCCUCCCUCAUAA